UCAAAAGCCUCAUCAACUCAGACAGUUCGAGUGUGAAGUGGAGGUGCUUUCUCCCCGGUUGUCACCUGCUCUCACCAUCACUGCGUGCCUUGCUGAAAGCCAUGACGUUUGCCUCUGCCAUUGUCUACUCUACCCCUCUCUCUCUCUCUCCCUUCACAUUUUGUUCACUACAGCUUCACCAUUGUCGCUGCAAGGAGGUGGAGGAAGGAGAAGAGAAGAAAAGCCCGCUGCCAUGGCCCACUGCUGCGUGCUACCAUUUCUCUCUCUCCCCACCUUUUGUCCGUUACAGCUGCACCAUUCUCGAUGCAAGGAGGAGGUAGAGAAGAGAAGCCGGCUACCCUGCAUCAUGUGACUCUCUGUCUCUUCACCCCUCUCUCUUUGCGUCUGGAGGAAUUCUAGGCAGGAGCAAAUCCCUGCAUUUUCCCACACUAUUAGGAUGACAAGCACUUCCUCUUUGGACAUCUUCGUUAGAGUCCCACCACCAACAAAGGUACCAGGUGGUGCAAUGUACUGCUUCUAUUGCAGCUCUUAGAUUGAUGAGAUUCAUUGAUGAAUGUCUUUGCUAUUAGACUGGAGCUUCCAAGUUCCAAGUACAACUUUGCAGGAGAACCACACAAUUGUUUUGAUGCUGACCUCAUCUAUCUUCUUCAACGUUGUCACCUAACCUUUGGUCUUGAUAUACUUCAACAACAAUUGCAGGAGGAUCAAAUCUUCAACGUCGGAGCUCAUCUUGGUGAAGCUUAUGAUGACAUGAAAAGCUAGGUAUUGAUGAUUACAUUUCUUACUUCUUUUAAUUACAUUUUUCUACUAUACAACAUGAACAAAAGGGUCAAAAUGUUAUGAGGAUUGAGGAUAUGCGACUGACCAUGAAUUGGUAAAACUUGUGUUUCAUGCUAUCAUGUCUUCCAAUCAAGUGUUAGUGGCCAAUAAGAAAAAGAAAUAAUAUUUGAAAACCAGGAACUAGGCUUGGCACUUGUUGUAAGAAAUAUGGCCACUCGUGGAAACAGUUCUAGGACCUUAUUGGUCAUCCUAAAAAUUUAGACUCUGAAACAUGAAAAUGCUCAAAUUCAUUGUCACAAAGAUCAUACUUGGGAAGUCGUUUUCCUCAGGAAGAACUUGAGAUACUUUAAAAAAUGAAAAAAUUUCAAACAAUUAGGUAAAUAUGAAAUGAAUAAGAAACUAAAAGAAAACAUAAAUAAAACUAGAUAAAAGUGAUAAAAACUAAAAACAAUGUUUGAUGAUGAUAAAAAUGAUGAAAAAUAAUUUAAUUUAAGUUUAAAUUUGUAUCCUUGAUGAUAUCUAACUUUAAAAGGAGAAAAAAUGGGGAAAAAUAGCGAAAAUAACACAAUAAAUAUAUUUUCCUUUUUUUUUCAAAAUAUCACGAUUUUUUCAUGAUUUUUUAUCUUUUUUAUUUUUAGUUGUAAAUAUCACAAUAUUUCCAAAAAUAUCUUGAUAUCUGUGACACUGCGUAAAUUGUCUCUAGGGAUGAUUUAGCAAGGGUUUCCGGUAGAUCAACAAGGCCCAUAUAUUUUCUAAGAACCAUUCCAAAUUUCCAAUGACACUAAUACGCAAUCAUCUUGCCCUUGUCCCUAGAAAAACUACGGAUGGUUGGAUUGUAUCUACAGGAAAAUCCAAUCAUAUGUCUUCAAAUCUGAAGCAUGUUUCUACAUCCAAAGAGCAUGAAAAGCUCCAAUGGGUUCUGCCUUUUAUACUUAGUAUCUCUAUAAAGUACAUGUUAAGGUAAUUUUGUUGUGAUAAUUUACUAUUUGUUAAUUACUUUACCUAUGAAGUGUAUUUUGGCUGUAAGAGCAAUGGGGAUGUUUUUCAGUUUGCAUGGCUGUUCACAAAUAUGACAUGGUCAAAGGUGUGACAGGUCACAAUAUGACAUUUGGGCUAAGGUACCAUUCUGGGCCUGACAAUCAAAUUCUGUAACAAACAUUGAUUUUUGAAUAUUCGUUUGAUCUACUGAAAACUGAAAAGCAUAAACUAAGGAGUAAAAACUUAUGGAUUCUUUUUCUUUUGGAGAAUGAAAAGUUCAUUUUUUAAGGUAUAAAGAGUGAUAACAAGAUGUCGUCAGCUUUAUUUGUACUCUGUUCCUGCAAAACUAUGCCAGCCAUCAAAAUGCAUGUCUUACACUAAAGGCAAUUCCUUGCUUGCUGUAUGACCCAUUCUUGUGGACUAGAAUAAGCCAUCUGUCAACAAGACUGUCUAGCUGAAUCUGUAAUGCUCGAGUGAUUUGUUGAUCCUCUACAUUAUUCAGUUCCUGUGAUUCGAAACAAACAGUCCAUAUCAUAUUUUCCUUCAUUUUCAACUUUAUGAACCAUAGAUUUCUCGUAAUCUAUGUUUUCCAGAUGAGUAUAUGAAAUGGUUGAUGCCAACAAUCAUGUAAUCAUUUCCUGGUAAAAGCAACCAGCUGACACAAGGACUAAACAAAAAAAUCUUCUAGUUGGGGAGGUGUCAGGUCGCACUCUGACGUCCCUAUGCCCUAACACGUAGGACGUUCGUGCUGGAGCCCAACACCCUCAUGGGUAGGGGGGGAUCUGGGUAGCAUUUUGGGACUCAAAAUCACAGUUAGUGGAUUCAAUUCUUAUUAGAUAUACUCUUAAUCAUAUUUAUUUUUUUGAAUAUUCACAUAUUCAUAUUUGAAUUUAGAUUUGAAAGAAAAAUAUAUUUAUAUCCGAAUCUCAGAUCUGAUUUUACAAUUCGAAUUCCAUCUGAAUUUGAUUUUUAUAUUCAUAUCCAAAUCCGAAUUUUGAACCAAAUUUGUCAAUUUUCAACAUGUAAGGGCAGUGGUAGAUAGAAGAUAUUUGUCUAAAAAUAAAUCUGUUUAGAAUCCGAGCAAAUGUCAUUUUUUAAAUCUAAAUCUAAUUUGAUUUCUUAAUUGGAUAUUAAUUUUCUUUUCAUAUCUAAUUUUUUGUGAAUCGAUUUGAUCGGAUAUCUGAUUCAAAUAUGAUAUAUUAACAUCGAUAGGCCCGAGUUACAGGUUUGGACUUGGGUCAACUUGUGCUAGUUUGACACCCCUUUAAGGUCUAGAUAGUUUGGAACCAAUUAUAGAAAAUGGCAAUAAAAUUGAAUGAAUGGAGUAAAUGGUCAUUUUUUAUCGUGAAAAAUUUGGUUCUUCACAUAGCCUCCACAGCCAUCGAGAUAGCGCCAGGUCCCUCGCUACUGUCUCUGGCCCAUGCUGUAGACAAAGGGGGAGUCGUCUUUAGAUCACGGUCGGGAGCUUCAAUGGUGAUUGGGACCCAACUGUCUCGACGACAACUGUGAUAGCAUGGUAGGUCCUUCAAUGCUCUUCUGUUGUCUUUGUUGCAAAUCGAAACAAUAGGGGCAAAGACAGGAAUGUGGGGCCAUUUCUGCUAUCUCGACAGUGUUCGAGCCACCAAUGGGCGAUAUUUGAUGUUGAAAUGGAGCAAUCGAGGGGCUUGGCAUGCCUUCUGCCUAUUGAGACACUCUGGUCAGAAGGGGGCUCGCUCCUACCAGAUACAACAAAGAGGGUCUCUGCUUCUCGACAUAGAUAGAAAGCCUCCCUCUGGCUUCAGGGAGCAAGCAAGAGAGAGACAGAAAGAUUUACAAAUGCUGCAAGAGGUGGAGGAGCAAAAAAUCAGCCGUGCAUGGAGGUGGAGAAGCUGCCACGGGAAUUACGAAAGUGGAACAAAGCAAAUGAGCAAUGAGCUGACUGGGGUGCACCUAUACGAACAUGAGCAAUGAGAUUUAGUCCUACAGCAUAUUUUAGAAGCUUUCACAAAUAUAGGGGAUUAACCCAAUAUGUUUAUCAAGUUGUAUUUUACUCUAUAUCUAAUCCUGGAUUAUCUUUCUAAUAUGUCUGUAGCACCUUUAUUUCUACUUUUUAUUUGAGGUGAUAAAGAGUUUGAUUUGUUAGGAACACAAAAGGUUAACCUUUUUCUCUGUAUUCGACCUGGUCUUACUACUAAUAAGAGCUUGUUAAUUAGAAUUUGGCGCAUGGUUUUCCCAUUGAUAAUUUUUACUGAGAAUACUUUUGGAAUCUCUUU